rnacentral:rRNA from 1 species
GAUGAACGCUAGCGACAGGCUUAACACAUGCAAGUCGAGGGGCAGCACAGGUAGCAAUACCGGGUGGCGACCGGCGCACGGGUGAGUAACGCGUAUGCAACUUGCCUAUCAGAGGGGGAUAACCCGGCGAAAGUCGGACUAAUACCGCAUGAAGCAGGGGCCCCGCAUGGGGAUAUUUGCUAAAGAUUCAUCGCUGAUAGAUAGGCAUGCGUUCCAUUAGGCAGUUGGCGGGGUAACGGCCCACCAAACCGACGAUGGAUAGGGGUUCUGAGAGGAAGGUCCCCCACAUUGGUACUGAGACACGGACCAAACUCCUACGGGAGGCAGCAGUGAGGAAUAUUGGUCAAUGGGCGUAAGCCUGAACCAGCCAAGUCGCGUGAGGGAUGAAGGUUCUAUGGAUCGUAAACCUCUUUUAUAAGGGAAUAAAGUGCGGGACGUGUCCCGUUUUGUAUGUACCUUAUGAAUAAGGAUCGGCUAACUCCGUGCCAGCAGCCGCGGUAAUACGGAGGAUCCGAGCGUUAUCCGGAUUUAUUGGGUUUAAAGGGUGCGUAGGCGGCCUUUUAAGUCAGCGGUGAAAGUCUGUGGCUCAACCAUAGAAUUGCCGUUGAAACUGGGGGGCUUGAGUAUGUUUGAGGCAGGCGGAAUGCGUGGUGUAGCGGUGAAAUGCAUAGAUAUCACGCAGAACCCCGAUUGCGAAGGCAGCCUGCCAAGCCAUUACUGACGCUGAUGCACGAAAGCGUGGGGAUCAAACAGGAUUAGAUACCCUGGUAGUCCACGCAGUAAACGAUGAUCACUAGCUGUUUGCGAUACACUGUAAGCGGCACAGCGAAAGCGUUAAGUGAUCCACCUGGGGAGUACGCCGGCAACGGUGAAACUCAAAGGAAUUGACGGGGGCCCGCACAAGCGGAGGAACAUGUGGUUUAAUUCGAUGAUACGCGAGGAACCUUACCCGGGUUUGAACGCAUUCGGACCGAGGUGGAAACACCUUUUCUAGCAAUAGCCGUUUGCGAGGUGCUGCAUGGUUGUCGUCAGCUCGUGCCGUGAGGUGUCGGCUUAAGUGCCAUAACGAGCGCAACCCCUAUCCUUAGUAGCCAGCAGUAAGAUGGGCACUCUAGGGAGACUGCCGGGGAUAACCCGGAGGAAGGUGGGGAUGACGUCAAAUCAUCAUGCCCCUUAUGAUUUGGGCUACACACGUGCUACAAUGGCGUAAGCAAAGGGAAGCGAGCCUGCGAGGGGGAGCAAAUCCCAAAAAUAACGUCUCAGUUCGGAUUGUAGUCUGCAACUCGACUACAUGAAGCUGGAAUCGCUAGUAAUCGCAGAUCAGAAUGCUGCGGUGAAUACGUUCCCGGGUCG